rnacentral:tRNA from 1 species
GCCGGUGUGAUGGAAUGGUAGACGUAGCGGAUUCAAAAUCCGCCGGUGGCGACACCGUGUGGGUUCGAGUCCCACAACCGGCA